rnacentral:tRNA from 1 species
CCCGCGGCAGCGCGCGGCAGUGGUGUUGCGCUUCUACUGCGACCUGUCGGUCGAACAGACGGCCGAGGUUCUGGACUGCUCCCCGGGA